rnacentral:rRNA from 1 species
AUGAACGCUGGCGGCGUGCCUAAUACAUGCAAGUCGAGCGAACAGACGAGGAGCUUGCUCCUCUGACGUUAGCGGCGGACGGGUGAGUAACACGUGGAUAACCUACCUAUAAGACUGGGAUAACUUCGGGAAACCGGAGCUAAUACCGGAUAAUAUAUUGAACCGCAUGGUUCAAUAGUGAAAGACGGUUUUGCUGUCACUUAUAGAUGGAUCCGCGCCGCAUUAGCUAGUUGGUAAGGUAACGGCUUACCAAGGCAACGUUGCGUAGCCGACCUGAGAGGGUGAUCGGCCACACUGGAACUGAGACACGGUCCAGACUCCUACGGGAGGCAGCAGUAGGGAAUCUUCCGCAAUGGGCGAAAGCCUGACGGAGCAACGCCGCGUGAGUGAUGAAGGUCUUCGGAUCGUAAAACUCUGUUAUUAGGGAAGAACAAAUGUGUAAGUAACUAUGCACGUCUUGACGGUACCUAAUCAGAAAGCCACGGCUAACUACGUG